UACCAGCAGUCCAAGUCGUAGCCACAAUUAUUGGGUCUAAAACAUCCGUAGCUUGUUUCAUAAGUCUCUUGUGAAAUUCUGUCUCUCAAGAACAGAGCGAGCAAGAGAUACUGUGUUACUAGAGUCCGGAGGAUGUGAGGAGUACGGCCGAGGUAGUAGUAAAAUGCGUUAAUCUUGGUUGGACUAACAAUAGCGAAGGCACCUCACAACUACGGAUCUGACAGUGAGGGAUGAAGGCUAGGGGCGCAAAACGGAUUAGAUACCCGCGUA
rnacentral:rRNA from 1 species